rnacentral:rRNA from 1 species
GGGUUGUGAGGUUAAGCGACCAAGCGUACACGGUGGAUGCCCUGGCAGUCAGAGGCGAUGAAGGACGUGCUAAUCUGCGAAAAGCGCCGGUAAGGUGAUAUGAACCGUUAUAGCCGGCGAUGUCCGAAUGGGGAAACCCAGUGUGACUCGUCACACUAUCAUUAACUGAAUCCAUAGGUUAAUGAGGCGAACCGGGGGAACUGAAACAUCUAAGUACCCCGAGGAAAAGAAAUCAACCGAGAUUCCCCCAGUAGCGGCGAGCGAACGGGGAGGAGCCCAGAGCCUGAAUCAGCAUGUGUGUUAGUGGAAGCGUCUGGAAAGGCGCGCGAUACAGGGUGACAGCCCCGUACACAAAAGCGCAUGUGCUGUGAGCUCGAUGAGUAGGGCGGGACACGUGGUAUCCUGUCUGAAUAUGGGGGGACCAUCCUCCAAGGCUAAAUACUCCUGACUGACCGAUAGUGAACCAGUACCGUGAGGGAAAGGCGAAAAGAACCCCGGCGAGGGGAGUGAAACAGAACCUGAAACCGUGUACGUACAAGCAGUGGGAGCCCCACCACUAAGCCAGUGGUGAACUCCGCAUACGCAUCCUUUGCUGAGGAUACGGUUAACGGAGCGAGAGCGACGUUUAACCGCAAAAGAAGCAGAGGGGGCUUAGUGGUGGGGUGACUGCGUACCUUUUGUAUAAUGGGUCAGCGACUUAUAUUCUGUAGCAAGGUUAACCGCAUAGGGGAGCCGGAGGGAAACCGAGUCUUAAC